rnacentral:rRNA from 1 species
UACGUAGGGACCAAGCGUUGUUCGGAUUUACUGGGCGUAAAGGGCGCGUAGGCGGCUUAACAAGUCACUUGUGAAAUCUCCGGGCUUAACUCGGAACGGCCAAGUGAAACUGUCAAGCUAGAGUGCAGAAGGGGCAAUCGGAAUUCUUGGAUGUAGCGGUGAAAGUGACGUAGAUAUCAAGAGGAACACCUGAGGUGAAGACGGGUUGCUGGGCUGACACUGACGCUGAGGCGCGAAAGCCAGGGGAGCAAACGGG